AAUAGAUACCCGGGUAGUCCACGCCGUAAACGAUGAGUGCUAAGUGUUAGGGGGUUUCCGCCCCUUAGUGCUGCAGCUAACGCAUUAAGCACUCCGCCUGGGGAGUACGGCCGCAAGGCUGAAACUCAAAGGAAUUGACGGGGGCCCGCACAAGCGGUGGAGCAUGUGGUUUAAUUCGAAGCAACGCGAAGAACCUUACCAGGUCUUGACAUCUCCUGACCGCCCUGGAGACAGGGACUUCCCUUCGGGGACAGGAUGACAGGUGGUGCAUGGUUGUCGUCAGCUCGUGUCGUGAGAUGUUGGGUUAAGUCCCGCAACGAGCGCAACCCUUGUCCUUAGUUGCCAGCAUUCAGUUGGGCACUCUAAGGAGACUGCCGGCUAAAAGUCGGAGGAAGGUGGGGAUGACGUCAAAUCAUCAUGCCCCUUAUGACCUGGGCUACACACGUGCUACAAUGGGCGGUACAGAGGGUCGCGAACCCGCAAGGGGGAGCCAAUCCCAAAAAACUGCUCUCAGUUCGGAUUGCAGGCUGCAACUCG
rnacentral:rRNA from 1 species